rnacentral:rRNA from 1 species
ACGGGAGGCAGCAGUGGGGGAUAUUGCGCAAUGGGGGGAACCCUGACGCAGCAACGCCGCGUGAAGGAAGAAGGUUUUCGGAUCGUAAACUUCUUUAAGUGGGGAAGAUAAUGACGGUACCCACAGAAUAAGCCACGGCUAACUACGUGCCAGCAGCCGCGGUAAUACGUAGGUGGCGAGCGUUGUCCGGAUUUACUGGGUGUAAAGGGCGUGUAGGCGGGGCUUUAGGUCAGAUGUGAAAUACCGUGGCUUAACCACGGAGCUGCAUUUGAAACCGGAGCUCUUGAGUGUCGGAGAGGAAAGCGGAAUUCCUAGUGUAGCGGUGGAAUGCGUAGAUAUUAGGAGGAACACCAGAGGCGAAAGCGAUUUUCUGGACGAUAACUGACGCUGAGGCACGAAAGCGUGGGGAGCAAACAGGAUUAGAUACCCUGGUA